GACCGCGUGCCCGAGUGGCUCAGGGACUGGACUGCAAAUCCAGGCACGCGGGUUCGAAUCCCGCCGCGGUCUCCA
rnacentral:tRNA from 1 species